GACGAACGCUGGCGGCGUGCUUAACACAUGCAAGUCGAACGGAAAGGCCCUGCUUUUGUGGGGUGCUCGAGUGGCGAACGGGUGAGUAACACGUGAGUAACCUGCCCUUGACUUUCGGAUAACUUCAGGAAACUGGGGCUAAUACCGGAUAGGAGCUCCUACUGCAUGGUGGGGGUUGGAAAGUUUCGGCGGUUGGGGAUGGACUCGCGGCUUAUCAGCUUGAUGGUGGGGUAGUGGCUUACCAAGGCUUUGACGGGUAGCCGGCCUGAGAGGGUGACCGGCCACAUGAGGACUGAGAUACGGCCCAGACGCCUACGGGAGGCAGCAGUGGGGAAUAUUGCGCAAUGGGCGGAAGCCUGAUGCAGCAGCGCCGCGUGCGGGAUGAUCGCCUUCGGGUGGAAAACCGCUUUCGCCGGUGACGAAGAGUGAUUGACGGUAAUGGGUAAAGAAGCACCGGCUAACUACGUG
rnacentral:rRNA from 1 species